rnacentral:lncRNA from 1 species
GGGGAGUCAUUCUCGGGCCGUGCAGACAUAAUGGAUUCUAGGGAUUUACCCCCUCAUCAAUCAUGCUGUAAUACCCGGCUAGAUUCUGGCAUCGGAAUCCCUACCUUCCGGCGGAAUCUCCGUUGGAAUAUGGAAUUUUGAUGAUGCCAGAGUCUUCUACAGGGGUAAAAUGUGAUUUCUAAAAUGAUUUUUACUGAUUUUAUGGUUUUAAAUGAAAAAGAAGUGAGUUUUGAAAAGAAAAGACCAAGGAGGUUUUUGCCAGGUUCGGCCGCCGAAAGUGAAGUUCGGCCGCCGAACAUGAGUAGGUUUCGGGAGUGCUUUU